CAGCAGUAGCCGCGGUAAUACGAGGGGUGCAAGCGUUAUUCGGAUUGAUUGGGUGUAAAGGGUGUGCAGACGGCUUAUUAAGUCACUUGUUAAAUUCUUCGGCCUAACUGAAGGUCUGCAAGUGAUACUGAUGAGCUAGAGGGUGGAAGAGAGAAGUGGAAUUCUCGGAGUAGCGGUAAAAUGCGUAGAUCUCGAGAGGAACACCCAUGGCGAAGGCAGCUCGCUGGCCUAACACUGACGCUGAGGCGCGAAAGCGUGGGGAGCAAACAGGAUUAGAGACCCCAGUAGUCCCUGUCUCUUAUAC
rnacentral:rRNA from 1 species